AACAGGAUGGCCGAGGUUAGGCGGUAAGUUGUAAACUUAUGUACGUAAAUUUCUUCUGUUA
rnacentral:tRNA from 1 species